AACCCUGCUCUGGGCUGCUUCCGUACAGCGCUGCAUUCUGCACUGCGCCAUCAUCAGCGUCUAUUGAUUAGCGCUUUACUGACACCAACAGUGGUAGCUUGAGCCAGGGGCACAUUUUGACUCUUCUCACAGGAAUCGGAUGGUCUGAACACGGCUUGUCGGCAGCUCCCUGCUAACGCUGUCAAGACUCCAGAUCCAAAAUGUUUCCUGGAGUCCUCAAUCUUCUCUUUCAAAAUUACCAAAGUAACUACAAGCAGUGUCCCGAACAGAGGAUUCUAAUGAACAGCAGGAGCAGAUGAAUUCCUGAGAAGCAAAGAUCUGGCUCUCGCACAAGCACAGAGCAACUUUCUUUGUUUUCUGGGAGAUAGCAGUGGCUCUUGAAAAGUAAAUGAUUGGGAGAAAAAAAAUCAACUAGUAUGUUUUUGGCACAGCCAGCUAUUUCCAGUAAAUACUGUUCAUGUUAAAACUUGUAGAAAACUGAAGUAGUGUAGAAAGUGGGUGGUAAGUUUCUACCAACCUUCUCUACACUAGCAUUUUUCUUUCAAUUUCCCCCUGGUGCACUUCUACUAGCACUCUCACUGUCAUUAUCGCUAACGCAAAAAAGCUGUUAGUACUCACUAGCAUUUUAAACCACCAUCUAGGCCUUCCUGAGCAGGAUUAGACAGUGGUUAAAAAUACUGGCAACACAUCCAUGCUAGCCCUGCCACCACUGCUAUCACUGAUAAAGCUGCCCCAACAACCUCUAUGAUGGGAAAUAUGAAGAAACAUUCUAGUGCAGACACUGCCUUUGAGAAACCUCUCUUGAUAUAGAGCAUUCUUCUUUAUUAUUUACACAGUGCCCCCAAAAUGUGCUAGGCACACAAGAUAGGCAAAUUGGACCUAGUUUCUGGGGGCUCUCCAAGUGUUUGUUUGCAUGAGCAGCAUCCCUAUUGUGAGAAGGUAUUGCUAUGGAGAGCUACUCAAACUGUUUGAUGAAAGUUUUUCUGUUAUAAAAUGCCAUU